rnacentral:rRNA from 1 species
AUACCCUAUUAUUUAAAUCGUAAAAAUUUUAAAACUAAAGUAUUAGUAGGUAUGAUCUUUAAACUUAAAGAAUUUGGCGGUAUUAUAGUCUAUUUAGAGGAAUCUGUUAAGUAAUUGAUAGUCCACGUUGAACCUUACUUGCAUAGUUUUUCUUGUAUACCGCUGUUUAUGAAUAUUUUUAUAGAUAGAUUUUCUGGAUAUAGUUUUAAGUAAUAUUUCAAGUCAAGGUGCAGUAAUAUGUAAGUUGAGUAAUGGAUUACAAUAAAAUUUAUUUAUUACGGACAUAUGAUUGUAAAAUUAUUAGAAGGUGGAUUUAAUAGUAAUUUAAUAAAGAUUAUUAAAAUGAUUUAUUAGCUCUAUAAUAUGUACACAUCGCCC